rnacentral:rRNA from 1 species
AUGGCUCAGGAUGAACGCUAGCGGCAGGCUUAACACAUGCAAGUCGAGGGGCAGCGGGAUGUAGCAAUACAUUGCCGGCGACCGGCGGAUGGGUGCGUAACGCGUAUGCAACCUACCUUAUACAGGGGAAUAACCUUUCGAAAGGGAGACUAACACCCCAUAGUAUUGAUUUAAGGCAUCUUAGAUUAAUUAAAUAUUUAUAGGUAUAAGAUGGGCAUGCGUAUGAUUAGCUAGUUGGUAAGGUAACGGCUUACCAAGGCGACGAUCAUUAGGGGUUCUGAGAGGAAGGUCCCCCACACUGGUACUGAGACACGGACCAGACUCCUACGGGAGGCAGCAGUGAGGAAUAUUGGUCAAUGGGCGCAAGCCUGAACCAGCCAUGCCGCGUGCAAGGAAGACGGCCUUAUGGGUUGUAAACUGCUUUUACAUAAGACUAACCGUAUAUUUGCGAAUAUACCUGAAUGUAUUAUGAGAACAAGGAUCGGCUAACUCCGUGCCAGCCGCCGC